CGACUCAUUGACUCGCAUCAGGAAGCGGUCGGAGAUGGGCCGCUGGCAGCCCUCGCAGACGGCGGGAUGCGGGCAGUCGGAGCCUGCAGCGCACAGGGCGAGAGCCGGGCGGUCAGCCCCGACCAGCUUGGCCCCAGCGUCCCGGCCGCGCGCUGCCCGCAGCCCGGGCCCCAAGGGCGAGGGCAAGCCGGGAGCGCCGCCCGCCGCCUGCGCUCCCCUGGCCGCCGCACCAGGGCCCGGGCAGCCUCAGCUGGUUGGUCCCAGUCCACGGACUCCCGCGCGGAGAGGCCGCGGGUCUCGAGGGCCCUGGCUCGGCGCUGCACUCUCCCCUUCUCCGGAGAUCCGGCGCUUGGUGUUACUACGUAUGAGAACCGGCACGGCGCGGGGUAGCCGGCUGGAACCAAGACGGGCGAGCUUCGGCGCUAGGAGGAGUGGCCCCAUGCGAGGCCAGACUGAGCGGAUGGCGGGGAGCGCAGCGGAUCCACCAGGGGAAGGCGCCGGCUGAGAGUGGCCGACCGGGGACCCCAUCUGUUGGUCAAGGGCCUAGUACUACUUCUUGGCAUUGUGUGGAAGACUUUUCACAUGCUAACUGAGCCUUCAGACAACCCUAUGAGGUAGGUAUUAUCCCCCCGUUUUGUAGAAGCAGAAACAGGAACUCAGGUGAGCUAGGAUUUGAACUCAUGUCUUCCGGAUUCCACCCCUUCAUUAGCAAGUACUUCUGGAGCACCUAACUCUAUUUCGGAACCUACCUUGAGACUGGGAUACAGAGAUGAACCACAAUUAUGGCAUGGGACUGUCUGUCUUUCCAUCUGUAGGUCCACCUGCUGCACUGGGAGCUCUUCAAGGGAAUCUGUCUGAUCAACUCUGAGCAUGAGCCCACAUAGCAAAACCAGUGGGUAUUUGUUGAAUGAACAAAUAAAUGAAGAAAAAAAGUUAAAAGAAAAGCAAUGCUUGAGGUUGUUAUGGCAGUCUAAUGUCUCUUACACUUGGAAACCUUUGUAAAAAAAUUCAAUAAUUUCUAAAUUAUAGAUAUAAUCUACUUCAUUAUAGAAAAUUUGGAACAUAUAGA